UUCUGCAGAGCCCUAAGAGUGAUAACGGAAUUUGCUUCAAUUUUCUGGGCCAGAAGACACUGGAGGCUGAACGCAGGCUGUAGUGACAUUAACUCUCUAACUGUCCACAACGUCCUGGAGAUACUUGAGUCAGUCAGAACCAUUACGGAGUCUGCGUAAAUGCUUGAAAUGAAGAAAGCACUUCAAUCACCCUCUUCCAUCGCCACCAACUUUUGUGGAUGCUUUGAGGAAAUGAAAAGCCAACAUGAUGGCCACUAAAUAGCCCGAUAGUCUAGAAGUAACUUGUUGCUUCCUGGCAGAAAAAAAAUCUGGUUCAUUUCAAUGACUUCCUGACAUCACUCUAAGGGUGGUAAGAACCACUGGGACCUUCUAGAGACAGAGAAACUGACACACAGAGAGAAGAUUGCAAGCUUCACACUGAGAGUCUACAGUGUCACCUCCCUGGAGAUGGAAAGUAGAAGGCAACUUUAUGAGUUUCUUCUAAAGCACUCCAGUUUGGAAACCAAGUUAUUCCCCUUCAU